rnacentral:rRNA from 1 species
UACAGCAGGGAGCUUGCUCCCGGAUGUUAGCGGCGGACGGGUGAGUAACACGUGGGUAACCUGCCUGUAAGACUGGGAUAACUCCGGGAAACCGGAGCUAAUACCGGAUAGUUCCUUGAACCGCAUGGUUCAAGGAUGAAAGACGGUUUCGGCUGUCACUUACAGAUGGACCCGCGGCGCAUUAGCUAGUUGGUGGGGUAAUGGCUCACCAAGGCGACGAUGCGUAGCCGACCUGAGAGGGUGAUCGGCCACACUGGGACUGAGACACGGCCCAGACUCCUACGGGAGGCAGCAGUAGGGAAUCUUCCGCAAUGGACGAAAGUCUGACGGAGCAACGCCGCGUGAGUGAUGAAGGUUUUCGGAUCGUAAAGCUCUGUUGUUAGGGAAGAACAAGUGCGAGAGUAACUGCUCGCACCUUGACGGUACCUAACCAGAAAGCCACGGCUAACUACGUGCCAGCAGCCGCGGUAAUACGUAGGUGGCAAGCGUUGUCCGGAAUUAUUGGGCGUAAAGGGCUCGCAGGCGGUUUCUUAAGUCUGAUGUGAAAGCCCCCGGCUCAACCGGGGAGGGUCAUUGGAAACUGGGAAACUUGAGUGCAGAAGAGGAGAGUGGAAUUCCACGUGUAGCGGUGAAAUGCGUAGAGAUGUGGAGGAACACCAGUGGCGAAGGCGACUCUCUGGUCUGUAACUGACGCUGAGGAGCGAAAGCGUGGGGAGCGAACAGGAUUAGAUACCCUGGUAGUCCAAACGAUGAGUGCUAAGUGUUAGGGGGUUUCCGCCCCUUAGUGCUGCAGCUAACGCAUUAAG